rnacentral:misc_RNA from 1 species
UAGUCCCUUUGAUCACGUUGUUGGCACGUGAGCCUUGAUUGGCAGCAAUGAAAUCAGGGUCAUAGAUUCCAGGGAGUGGAACCAUAGAUUCCAUGUAGGGCCUCAGUUGCUUCUGGAGAUCAAUUUCGAAGACCUUGGCCCUGGCCAUGGCAUCUGCCAAGUUCAUGUCUCUUAUGUCCCAACCACCAAACACAAUGUCAUCUGGGUUCACCAUGGGGAGGAGGCUCUUGAACGGAGCAUAUAUCUCCUCUCCAUUGAAAGACCCAACUCGGAUUGAUGAUGCUUG